GAUGAACGCUGACAGAAUGCUUAACACAUGCAAGUCACCUGUGGCGGACGGGUGAGUAACGCGUAAAGAACUUGCCUCACAGCUAGGGACAACAUUUGGAAACGAAUGCUAAUAACUUAUACUGUGAGAGAGCUUUGCGUCCCAUUCGCUAGUUGGAGAGGUAACGGCUCACAAAGGCGAUGAUGGGUAGCCGGCCUGAGAGGGUGAUCGGCCAAAAGGGGACUGAGACACGGCCCUUACUCCUCCGGGCGGCAGCAGUGGGGAAUAUUGGACAAUGGACCAAAGUCUGAUCCAGCAAUGCUGUGUGCACGAUUAAGAUUUCGGAAUGUAACGUGCUUUCAGUUUGGAUGCGGUACCUACAUAAGAAGUUACGGCUAUAUACGUACCAGCAGCCGCGGUAAUAC
rnacentral:rRNA from 1 species